rnacentral:rRNA from 1 species
AUACGUAGGUGGCAAGCGUUGUCCGGAUUUACUGGGCGUAAAGGGUGCGUAGGUGGUAUAUUUAAGUGAGAUGUGAAAUCCCCGGGCUUAACUUGGGGGCUGCAUUUCAAACUGGAUGUCUAGAGUGCAGGAGAGGAAAGCAGAAUUCCUAGUGUAGCGGUGAAAUGCGUAGAGAUUAGGAAGAAUACCAGUGGCGAAGGCGGCUUUCUGGACUGUAACUGACGCUGAGGCAUGAAAGCGUGGGGAGC